rnacentral:rRNA from 1 species
UACGUAGGGUGCAAGCGUUGUCCGGAAUUAUUGGGCGUAAAGAGCUCGUAGGCGGUUUGUCGCGUCGUCCGUGAAAACCUGCAGCUCAACUGCAGGCUUGCGGUCGAUACGGGCAGGCUAGAGUUCGGUAGGGGAGACUGGAAUUCCUGGUGUAGCGGUGAAAUGCGCAGAUAUCAGGAGGAACACCGGUGGCGAAGGCGGGUCUCUGGGCCGAUACUGACGCUGAGGAGCGAAAGCGUGGGGAGCGAACAGG